CCGCGGCGUCGCGCGCUGAUUGGCUGAAACUCCUCCGCCAGCCACGGUGGGGCACAGAAUUCCCCAAGGAAAGGCUUAGAGCGCCCAGCCUUCUCAGUUGACAAAGAAUUGGCAAAUGGGCUUGCCAUCCAGCUGUAUUUUCAGCAGUGAACUGAGCACUGAUGGCCUUGGCUCUUGAAGAGGAAUAUCCUGUGUUGCAGCCUCACCGCAGGACUUCAGCUCUAACACCCUGGUGUAUCUACAGUUCAGGACUAGGAGCAGGUGAGGAUGCAGGUAGUGUCUGGUGAGCACCUGGUGUUGGCAGCAGGAUGAAGCCAUCAAGAUUAUCGUUCUUAUCGUUCAACAGCUGUAUUUUAAGAAAAAAAAAAUAAAAAGAAUAAAUAAGAAUAAAAAGAA